GUGAGGAAUAUUGGACAAUGGGCGCAAGCCUGAUCCAGCCAUGCCGCGUGCAGGAAGACGCAUCUAUGGUGUGUAAACUGCUUUUGUACGGGAAGAAACACUCCCUCGUGAGGGAGCUUGACGGUACCGUAAGAAUAAGGAUCGGCUAACUCCGUGCCAGCAGCCGCGGUAAUACGGAGGAUCCAAGCGUUAUCCGGAAUCAUUGGGUUUAAAGGGUCCGUAGGCGGUUUAAUAAGUCAGUGGUGAAAGCCCAACGCUCAACGAUGGAACGGCCAUUGAUACUGUUAGACUUGAAUUACAAGGAAGUAACUAGAAUAUGUAGUGUAGCGGUGAAAUGCUUAGAUAUUACAUGGAAUACCAAUUGCGAAGGCAGGUUACUACUUGUGGAUUGACGCUGAUGGACGAAAGCGUGGGGAGCGAACAGGAUUAGAUACCCCUGUAGUCC
rnacentral:rRNA from 1 species